rnacentral:rRNA from 1 species
UACGUAGGGGGCAAGCGUUGUCCGGAAUCAUUGGGCGUAAAGAGCGCGUAGGCGGCCCUGUAAGUCCGCUGUGAAAGUCAAGGGCUCAACCCUUGGAUGCCGGUGGAUACUGCAGGGCUAGAGUUCGGAAGAGGCGAGUGGAAUUCCUGGUGUAGCGGUGAAAUGCGCAGAUAUCAGGAGGAGCACCGAUGGCGAAGGCAGCUCGCUGGGACGGUACUGACGCUGAGACGCGAAAGCGUGGGGAGCAAACAGG